rnacentral:misc_RNA from 1 species
AUAAAUUUAGGUUCUUCUGAAGUAACUGUCAGAUAUAAUUAAGCAAAGUGAUAUUUACUAAAACGUUCGAUAAUUAUUCAGUUGAGCAAAUAGUUAAGUAAAGACAUAUUUAUAAAACAUUUCGGUAAUAAUUCAGUUAGGCAAGUUAACUCAAAUAACUUUCACUUUGACACAUACGUUAUUGAAGUCAUUUUACUGAAUAACUGUCAAAAAGGUUUAGUUAUUGUCCGUUCUUUAUUAAAAAGGUACUUAAAAACUUUAAUCAGUGAAACAUAAUUUUCUAAGCAUUCGUUUUAGAUGAAAGGGUAUUUAUAUUUACAUGGGAUCCCACGUAGAUAAAUAACUAUAAACCUUAAAUCCACUAUACUACUACUAUAUUAUACUACUGUUGUGAAUUUUAUGGAAAACGUAAAACGUGAGAGACACGAAUAAAAAACGUAUAUGAAAGAACUUUAUUCAGCAAGUAUACUGCAGGAAGAAAAGUUGUAAAACUUUAUGUUCUUGAUAUCGUGAUUGGAAGUAGUUGCAGCAACAAAGAGGAGAUCUUAAAAGAGAGAAUUUCAAAAAAUGAACAAAUAAGAGCAACGUAUUCACUACAAUACGUACUAACGCAAAUUGGACUUAGAGACAAUCUGUUACUAUUUUACAUCGCGUUUAUCGUAAGUUUGCAAAAGCACAGAUCUGCUCUUGACGCACGAUUUAGGAAUCUUUGAAGCCUCUGCAGUGUACGGUGCCGUUUAUCUACGGUUUUAUAUAAAACAUUUAUAUAUAUAUAAGUAAAAUAUAUGUGCAGGAAGUAAUAUUCUUGUUUGCUUAUUAAAAUUUGUAUUAAACUUUAAUUAAAUGUUAAUUGAUUAUUUCAUCAUGAAUUGGUUAAAUAUCAAGUUCAAUAGCAAAGUUGGUAUCGUUGGUAUUAAUGCACUUGAUGGAAAUUUGUUACAAAAUAAUAGCAUAAAUAUUUAUAUAUAAAUACUUAAAUAUAAAUUUUUCGAUAUUUAAAAUCAAAUUCUAGAUUCUUUUGAGUUAGCUCAAAUGCAGAUAAAAAAGAGAAACCUGUUAGAACUGCUGUUAUUUAUCAGUUAAUACCGCGGCUUCAAGUAAUGUUAUAGAUAUUUUUAAGAUAUAUCGUACACUGCUGUUUUCAACGAAGAAGUGAACUGUACGAAUGCACACAUUGGAAUGAAACGCAUGAACUUCUGCCGUUAAAAAAAGGGUAAACUACGCAUGUGAAUUUCGACCAAGAUAUUAUUUUACGAAUAUUUUUCCGUGAGAAGUAACCACGUGUCGAAUUUCCCUCAACAUUAUAUUGAUCACUUAAUCGUCGUCUUCUUCUCGGGAGUAGGUGACAAAGUAUGAGUGUAUCGAUCGCAUUAUGUGCUAUCUUAUACUCUGUCUAUUUUAUUAAACAAUUUGCGUGGCAAUUUACUUUGGUAAAGAAAAUUGAUACAAUGUUAUAUAAUGUUAUAUGAUUAUAUAAUUCGCAAGUGCUCCUAUGCGAGAUGAGGUUUCACGAACCGUCACAAAAUAUUUUGCAGUCAAACGUAACUCGAUAAACUCAGAAUCAUUUAUAAAAUGAGUAUCUCCGUCCAAGAACGGUACUUCAGCUGGAAUAGAAUUUUAUUACUCGCUGUUGGCUUAUGGCCUUAUCACCAAUCAAGGUUUGCUCGAUUUCAGGCAGCGUUGUGUCUUAGUAGUUUGACAAGCUUCAUCGUAUUCGUGCUUUCACGACUUUAUUUUGUAGAAUACUCCUUUGAAUUUACUAUUAAUUUGCUUUGUAUGUCAAUGUAUUUUACUUUUCUUCUGAUUAAGUAUAUCUCCUUUUGGAUUAACAUAGAAACUAUAAAAUAUUUAUUAGAGCAAUUUCAAUAUAUCUACAAGAGGCUAAAGGAUUCGAAAGAAAUUGCUAUCUAUAACAAAUAUGGAAACAUUGGGAAACGAAUAACAGUCGGCUUCAUAAUAGUUGCAAUAUGCGAUCUGGCUUGUCUUAUUGCAAUGCAAUGUUGGCCAUUCAUUUUUGAUAUGAUUAUGCCCAAAAAUGUGACCUACGCGCGCCACCUCAUAGUAACUGUGACUAAAUACUUCGCCAUACAAGAAAAACACUUCUAUUUAGUGUUUCUGCAUCUAAACGCAGUCGCUGUUGUAGGAGGAUUUUCAUUUUUAGCGAUAGGGACAAUGCUAUUAUCAUGUUUUAAACAUAUCUGUGGAAUGUUCAGAAUUGCUAGCUAUCGCUUCGAACACGCAAUAACGAUCACGUUACAAAGUAUUACGUUAAAAAAUAAAACCAUGGUUUACAAAGAGGUUAUCUGUGCCGUGGACAUUCAUCGCAAAGCUACGGAGUUUGCCAUAUUUCUUGAGAAAAGCAUGGAUCGAUCAUUUUUCAUUAUCAUAAUGGUUAUUGUGCUCUGCAUGAGUUUUAAUCUUUAUGGCAUAUUUCAGAUUGAAUCACCUAUGCAGGAAAUAGAAAAGACAACAGAACAUCUCCUUUUUAUAAUUUUUAUUUUUAUAUACAUGUUCGUAGGAAACUAUAUCGGACAGGAAAUUACGGAUUAUAAUCAUCACGUAUUUCUUAUCGUGUACAAUGUUCCAUGGUAUCUAGCACCGCUGCAGAUACAAAAAUUGAUCUUGUUCUUAUUACAAAGAAAUAACAAAGUUUUCACGUUGACUAUCGGUGGAUUAUUCACAUUGUCUCUAGAGUGCUUUGCUUCGGUAAAGUUAUACAUUUACAGAUAUAUAAAUAAUACGUACGUGCAAUGUUCAAAAAUAAGAAGAAAGAUAAAUUAAGGAAAAUACAUUUGUUUGCAGCUAGUAAGUGCAUCAGUAUCUUACUUCACUCUCAUGCUAUCUUUGCAAUAAUAACGAACAUAUAACAUAUCCAAUAAUAUCAAAUUAGAAUAGAAGAAAUAGAUAUAAAUAGAAUAGAGUAAAUAAAUAUAUAACACUCAAUGAAAAUGCCGAUAUUCUCUUGUCCCAUUGAACUCAAAAAACUAGAAGGUACAAUCAGUUGAAUUGAUAAAAUCAGAUCUGAAAUGUUUCUCACGAUAAACAUGUAAUAUUUAUCAUUCGAAUAAAAUUUACGGAUAAGAAGAAAUGGAA